rnacentral:rRNA from 1 species
AUCUCUUGGCUCUCGCAUCGAUGAAGAACGCAGCGAAAUGCGAUACGUAAUGUGAAUUGCAGAAUUCAGUGAAUCAUCGAAUCUUUGAACGCACCUUGCGCCCCUUGGCAUUCCGAGGGGCACACCCGUUUGAGUGUCGUGAAAUUCUCAAAACCCUUUCUUUGGUCUCUUGAUCGGGGGAAGGAUUUUGGACUUGGAGGCCUUUUGCUGGUUUCAACUUGAAGCGAGCUCCUCCCAAAUG